rnacentral:rRNA from 1 species
UACAGAGACUGCAAGCGUUAUUCGGAUUCACUGGGCGUAAAGGGUGCGCAGGCGGCCAUGUGUGUGAGGCGUGAAAGCCCGAUGCUUAACAUCGGAAUUGCACCUCAAACUACAUGGCUAGAGCAUUGGAGAGGGUAGCGGAAUUCACGGUGUAGCAGUGAAAUGCGUAGAUAUCGUGAGGAACACCAGUGGCGAAGGCGACUACCUGGCCUGUUCUUGACGCUGAGGCGCGAAAGCUAGGGGAGCAAACGGG